rnacentral:tRNA from 1 species
AACAGCGUGGCCUAGUGGGAAAGACGUCGGCCUGUAAAUCAGAGGACCUGGGUUCUAAUCCCAGCUCCGCUA